CGGGCGGGGGGCGCGCGUCACGGCGGGCGGGCGGGCGCCCCAAACCCCGGCCCUCCCCGCCCUCCCCGCCCUGGCGCGCGGCCCCGCGGCACCCCGGCCCCACCUCGUCUUUUCCUCUUCUGCCCAUCCUGUUCUUUUAAGGAGCGCGUUUGCGGGUCUAUGAAGAUCGCGAAACCAACCGCGUUGCUGCAAAUAACCCGGCUGCGGCGGCGGGGCCGGGGGGAGGGGAGAGGCCGGCCCGGUUCGGCCCGCACGGCCCCGGGCGCCGGACCUGGUGAGAAUUACUCACCCACACUUCGUGUCGGAGAUUAGCAGCCAUGAAGAAGCAUGGGAUCGCGGCACGUGGGUGUUUUAACCAUUAACUCGCGGCUUCCCAUCUCCAGAUGCCGCCUUUCUCCGCCCUGGCAGAGAGGAGCUUUUGCAGCCUCGCGUGGAGCAAACCAUGUCCUUGCCGGCGACUCAGAUCCACAAAUCUACAGCUAAGCCGCGCCUCCGGGGCCUGCUGGCGCCGGGAUCCCAGCGUCACCGCCCCUGCUGCCCAUCCCUGGGGUGGGAAGAAUACCACCCACUCCUCCCAGUUGCUGGAGGAGAGGCAGGGAGCCAGGCGGCAGCAGGAAGGGAAAACCAGUACCGUUUACUGGUUGGCGGCUGGCUACGAACCUCUCGGGGAGCACAGAGCCUGCGCCUUCAAGGUGCAUCCUCCCCGCUGGCAGCCUGGGCUCCUUACCUGACUGUCCCUCCUCUCUGCCUCCUGGACAGCGGACGCCACCAAGACUCAGAGGCCCCGCGGAUGUCAGGCCCCGCCGCCCUUCCCUGGUGCCUCGGUCAGAGGCAGCUGCGGGUGGGUUAGUGUAACCGUGGGGAGGGCACUCUGGUAAGUCCCGGGCUGGUCUUCCUGGUGGGCAGGGAAGGAAAGCCACACCCAGGGUAAGAUCUACUGAGUGAGGUCCGACAGACCUAUUUACUGCUGGGUGGCUGGUUGGGGGCCCAUUGCUCUGUGUUGGUCUGGGUGCUGGUGGUCUGAGCCC
rnacentral:lncRNA from 1 species